AACACUGGGAAUGCAGCAGAAGUAAUCGAGUUCAGUGCUGGGAGACAGUUGCCAUGAUAUUCCAACAUGGACACCAGGAUCACAGUCGAUGACUAUGCCCUCCCUUGAAGAUGGUGGCUUGCCUCUCUUUCUGUAAGCACAUGUCAUGUCAUAACAAUAUUAAACAAUUGAAAGUAAUGUCCCCAUCUUCUUCUACACUGCCUUUGAAUUAUUAUUUUAGAUCUGCCAAAAUAAAUUGCAAACUCAUUAACAAGAAAGGGGGGGUGCAUGCAUCCUUGCCUUCCCGAGUAGUCUAUUCACCCAAAGACAAAAGGGUGACCAGCCUCCAUCUGGGAUAUUCAAAGACACAGUCACCUUGCCAUGCAGCCUGAGGCCAAUCCCCUUUUUAAGAAGCUUGUUAGAUGAGCUCCUUAAACAUACAACCACAAAGGAAAAGCACAGCUGUGGAACUGCACAGCAUGCAUAGAAUACGUCCUCCCUUCAGUUGGCUUGGGUCAGCUUAGGUCAUGGGCCACUUGGACUGAUAGCAGUUUCCACAGAAAUGCCUCAAGAUGGUAGAAUAAUCCAGAUCUCUUUGCAUGGGGCAUGGUGUGGCUAUCUGAGAAAAUCCUGGCUUUUAUAGGAAGGAGAAAGAAGAAUGCUUCUUGAGGGGAAGAAACCAACAGGAAUGUGCCUCAGGGAAAUGUCACCAGAGG
rnacentral:lncRNA from 1 species